CCCCAGAAGGCGGAGGUUGCAGUGAGCCGAGAUCGUGCCACUGCACACUGGCCUGGACAAGACAGUGAAACUCCGCCUCAAAAAAAAAAAAAAAAAAAAAAAAAAAGAUCUUACAGCAAGUCAGCAGGGUCCACCAAGGUCUUUGGCCAGAAGCAGAGAGUUUAUCAUGUGGACAUAGGAAACAGCAGUAGAGUGAUUAGUGUGGGUUUGUCCUUAACCACUCAGGAAUUUCAGGAAUUCCGACCAUGGGUAAAACCCAGUGGGGUGACACUCUCAUGUUCUCACCAACCAGGAAACCACUUGCUCUGCUUUGGGGAGGAGUUAGUGGAGGACUGGGCGUGGGCAGAAAAAUGGACACAUUUUGCUUCCCUGAUGGACAGAGGGAGGAAGUGGGAAGGGGAGACUAAAUGUUCCUGGACGGGAAAGCAUAGAUCCAGAACUGGAAUAUCACAUCUAAUCAACGUAGUCGAAUAGACUCAACAAACCAGUAAGAGGUUGUCGAAGUAUCAUUCAUAACAAAAGCACAACGAGUAACGAAGCCAAAACACUGGAGAUACGUUUAUGCAUUCAAGAAAACCUCAGAUGGGGCAGAAUGCUUUCAUAAUGCAGUACAUUAAAAUCAGACGAAGCCUCGAAGGACAGAAUCACCGACCCUGAAAAAUCUCAAGCUGGAAAUCAGAGUGUACUACAGAAGACAACAGCGUUUGAGGACAUUUGCUGAAGCAGCCUCCUCUCCCUUAUAGUCUCAUAAUCCCACAUGGUUUUACCAAGCUCUCUGGCCUUCCCGGAACGUCUAUAAAAACUGCAUCCCCCGACUUUUGUUGGUGGUUUCUUCCCUAAACUUUAGGGAAGUGGUGGUUUAUGUGGUGUUAUCUUCCCUAAGCUUUAAUUUAAUAUGAUCUUACUUAGGCAUUUCUCUUAGAGAGUAGGUCAUUGUAAUGAAGCGUUUUUCACCCUCUGGGAAAGAGGUUUCCACAUAAGGGCCAGGCCGUGUUUUCCCUUUCAUCCAGUGAUUCCACCAUAAGCAGCCUCUCAUCUUCACUUUUCCCAACAAUUUUCUUAAAAUCAGUGUAUUUUUUUGCAGGACCGGAUAUCACAUUACAUUCUCUAGUCAGGGGUGGGGGGUGGGAUAUGAAGUGAGAACAAAGAAUGGUAACUCCCGAAGCGAUUUUUUUAACGUAAACUUUGUUAGGAAGCAUAACAUACACACGUGCCAACAUAAAGGGUGCAACUCCAUGUAAUUUUAUGCAGACACUCACUCAUGGAACCACAACUAGAACAGGAAAUAGGAUUUUGCCAGCACCCCAGAAGCUCCAAUAAGGCACCUUGCAGUCACUCCCCUCCCCUACCCCACUCUAGAACAUAACAAGUUCAUUUUCUGACUUCUAUCACUGUAGAUUAAUUUGCCGCUAUUCCAAACUUCCGUAAAUGGAAUCGGACAGUACACACUCUUUGGUACCUGGCUCAACAGUCUGUUCCUUGAGUCCGCUGAAGCAGUCAUUUCUUCAAUUUUAUUGCUGACUCAUAUUCUGUGCUAUGAAAAUGUAACAAUUUAUUUUUCCAUUCUACUACUGAUGAGCCUUCAGAUUCUUUCUAAUAUUUGCCCAUAAUGGAAAAUGCUGCAAUAAGAAUUGUGCACAUCUUCUGAGAGCUCAUCUACCUAUUUCUGUGGAUAUAUACCUAGAAGUGUAAUAUCUGGGUCACAAAUAGUCGUGUGCCUAUGCAGGCUUGUACUGGCUCAUGACAGCCCAGUUUUUGCAAUCCAAUUGUUAAAUAUAGCCACAACUGAAAAUUAAGUCAUGUAAACUUACCAUUAAAUAAAAUAAUUUUUAAACAAUAAUACUCUAAACUAGUUGUUUCCUAUUUUACUACAUUUGACUAACAUCUGUUUGAUUAAUGAACAUUUUAUUAUUGCUGCUUAAUUUAUGAUUCUACCUAAGAUAUUUUAUUUUUAUUUACUUUUAUUUUUUUGAGACAGUCUCAUUCUGGUUGCCCAGGCUGAAGUGCAGUGGCUCUGUCUUGGCUCACUGCAGCCUUGACCCCCCGGGCUCAGGUGACUCUCCCACCUCAGCCUCCCAAACAACUGGGACUACAGGCAUGUGCUACCAUACCCAGCUAAUUUUUUGUAUUUUUAGUAGAGAUGGGGCUUCGCCAUGUUGCCCAGGCUGGUCUUGAACUCCUGGACUCAAGCAAUCUGCCCACCUCGAUACCCUAGCAUGUUGGGAUUACAGGCAUGAGCCACCACACGCAGCCUGAUACUUCAGGAUUCUGACAAAUAGAAGAUAUUAAUACAGAACAAAAACAACAAAAGCAUUUAAUCUAAUUUAUGGUAGAGACGUCCAAUCUCAAGAGUCAAUGCCUUCCUUAUUUUAACCAGUCACCACAGAAAACCUGAAAAACAGAGCCUGUAAGAGGCAUCUGAGAGGUCUUCAAGAGACUGAAAUUACUAACCAGGCUUCAGGAGGAUUGAGGAGAUCUGCUGUGCUGACACUCCAGUUUUGAGCAAUAUGUACAAGUGGAGUCAUGCUUUGAUCUCAUACCAACAAUUCUGCUCGGGAUGUAAUGUCUUAGUCUGUUUGGGCUGCUAUAGCAAAACACCUGAGGUUGGGUAAUUUAUAAACAGCAGAGAUUUAUUCUAUUACAGUUCUGGAAUCUGGGAAGUCCAAAAUCAAGGUGCCAGUAGAUUCCAUGUCUGAUGAGGGUGUGGUCUCUGCUUCAAAGAUGGCAGCUUGAUGCUGCAUCCUCCCAAGGGAGGAAUGCUGGGUCUUCACAUAGCAGGAGGAACAGGAGGGCAAAAGGGGGUCAAGUUUUUCCCUCCAUCAAGCUUUUUUUUUUUUUUUAAUGGCAUUAAUCUGUUCAUGAGGAUGGAGCUAUUAUGAUCUAAACACCUCCCAAAAGCCCCCACCUCCCAGAACUGUUGCAUUGGGGAUUAAAUUUCCAACACAUGAAUUUUAGGGGACAUGUUCGACCAUAGCACUUGGUAAGAGUGAGGAAAAGAAAAAACAGUGGGCAGAGGCACAGACGAGAUGAGAUGAUUAGGACCUGUCUGAAAGUUGCGUGCUUCCUCACUCCCAUUUACUGUGAAUCUUUCCUCACUUCCUUCUUUGGACCAUAGAACGAUACAUGUGCUGCCAAAGUGAGCAGUGGAUCACAGAAUGAUAAGGGAGAAUUUGGUAAAAGGGAAGGGUGGUUUUUGUGUCUCUAAUGACCUGAUCAGUAUAAUGACAUGGCUUGAAAAAAUAAUCUCUUAGGUUACAAUCUGUUCAAAUUAUUGAGUCGGUAUUUAAUCACUGUGGCACAUAUUAGAAUAGUGUUCAUGACACUUUGAGGUCCAUUGAUCUUUAAUAAGGUAAGAAGGCAGCAUUGGCUUAAUUUUACAUAUCAAGAACGUGAACCUUAGAGGGAAAAAGUGAUCUUCUUUUUUUCUUUUCUUUUUUUUUUUUUUUUUUUGAGACGGAGUCUUGCUCUGUCAUNNNNNNNNNNNNNNNNNNNNNNNNNNNNNNNNNNNNNNNNNNNNNNNNNNNNNNNNNNNNNNNNNNNNNNNNNNNNNNNNNNNNNNNNNNNNNNNNNNNNUUUGAGACGGAGUCUUGCUCUGUCAUCCAGGCUGGAGUGCAGUGGCCGGAUCUCAGCUCACUGCAAGCUCCGCCUCCCAGGUUUAUGCCAUUCUCCUGCCUCAGCCUCCCAUGUAGCUGGGACUACAGACGCCCGCCACCUCGCCCAGCUAGUUUUUUGUAUUUUUUAGUAGAGACGGGGUUUCACCGUGUUAGCCAGGAUGGUCUCGAUCUCCUGACUUCCUGAUCCGCCCGUCUCGGCCUCCCAAAGUGCUGGGAUUACAGGCUUGAGCCACCGCGCCCGGCAAAAGUGACCUUCUUAAGAGCCCAAGUGAGUUAGUAGAAGAGUUACCUGGAUCCAGAAACAAAUUCUUAACUCCCAGGCAAGUCCUCUUUACUCUAUCACUAUUUUAUUUUAUUAUUAGUAGUGAUACUAGUGAUACUAGAUACCAGAAGACACCACAGUGAAGUUGGGAGUUUCCCUUAUUCUGUUUAUUCUGUUGACUGCAAUGCAACCAACGGGCCUUAACACUUGGACCCAUAAUUAAUUUUAGAUUAUAAGAGGCAGAGAAUUCAACUCACACUAGAUUGAGUAGCGGGAGACAAGGAAAUUUAUUAUAUGGAGUUGAAACGGGAAAAGUUCCCUGGUCCCCUUGCAGGGCAGGAGGCAGGGGGAGUGGCUAGCUUCUUCAGUGCCCCGCGGCUCACACCUCUCGGGAAGCAUGCAGACAGGCAAGCUGUGGGACUCCGACGCCCCCACGCACUCUCUAGGGGUGAAUGUUUACAGCUUCUGAAGCCCCAGUGGGCGUGUGUUACAGGUGCUCUGAGUUUGCGUGUAUAGGCGGCUUUUGUUAACCAGCUCAAUUAGACCGUCUACCUGGUUGCAAGGACAGAGGGCUUUUUGUAUUCCCGGUUCUUGCCUUGGUGUACUGGAAGAAUUAUUAGUGGGCUUGGAGAACUAGUGGGCUUGGAGAAUGAGUGCAAAGUUUUGAGUGGAAAUAGCUCUCUGCCAAUGGGAGAGCCAUAAGGGAGAUGGUUUUCCCUUGGAGUUGGGCCACUGGGUGCCCCAGCUCUCCUCUGACCGCCCUGGCCAAACU
ensembl:lncRNA